GAGCAAACUUAAUGGAACAACUUGCUGAGCUGGAUGCUGAAUACAAAAGAGUGAGCCUCAACACUUAAGGUUUGUGCUGAGUUUCACCAUAUCAGAGAAAGUGGCACACACCAGCAAGAUUUCACAGAUGCUGCAUGACAUUCGAAAUGUUUGAUCUUCAGUGUACGUGUGUGAGGAGAACUGUUCUUCAGGACAUGACAUGUAAGUAUUAAGUGCAUUAAUAGAUCUGAAAUAGAGUGGGGGAACUGA